rnacentral:tRNA from 1 species
CGCAGGCGGAGGCGCAGGCGGGUCGCCGCGGCGGCCUGCCGCGCCGCCUCCUGCCGCUCGGCGGCGCGCUCGCGGC